rnacentral:lncRNA from 1 species
UUACAAUAACUUAAACAUAAAGUGCAGAAAUGAUACAUUUAUUCAAAUUUGUUUAAUCAAAGUGGAACUCAAUUGUGGAUCUAGAUUUUUGCAAAAAAGGGUCCCAUUUUUUCCCCCGGCAAAAUUGGAUGUAGAAUCGUUUUUUAAGCUAUUGUAUUGUACAACAAUUUCAAUUUUUUUCACAAAUAUAACAAAGGAAUGAGCCCUUAAUCGUUAAACGAAACCCCCGUUUACAAGUUAAAAGGGUUGUUGCAUUCAUUUUUGUGAAAAGAAUAGAACAGUAUCAUUCUGGCGAGCUGGCGAGAGCAAUUAUAAUUAUGUAUA